GUAAUAGCUAACUGGUCGAGUCGGCCUGCGCGGAAGAUGUAACGGGGCUAAACCAUGCACCGAAGCUGCGGCAGCGACGCUUAUGCGUUGUUGGGUAGGGGAGCGUUCUGUAAGCCUGUGAAGGUGUACUGUGAGGUAUGCUGGAGGUAUCAGAAGUGCGAAUGCUGACAUAAGUAACGAUAAAGCGGGUGAAAAGCCCGCUCGCCGGAAGAC
rnacentral:rRNA from 1 species